rnacentral:rRNA from 1 species
UACGUAGGGUGCAAGCGUUGCCCGGAUUUAUUGGGCGUAAAGGGCGCGUAGGCGGCUCUGCACGUUCGUUGUGAAAUCGCCCGGCUCAACUGGGCGGGGUCAGCGGAUACGGCAGAGCUUGAGCAAGCUAGGGGGCAAUGGAAUUCCCGGUGUAGUGGUGGAAUGCGCAGAUAUCAGGAAGAACACCCGUGGCUAAGGCGGUUCUCUAGUACGGUACUGACGCUGAGACGCGAAAGCGUGGGGAGCGAACAGG